GACGAACGCUGGCGGCGUGCUUAACACAUGCAAGUCGAACGGAAAGGCCCUGCUUUUGUGGGGUGCUCGAGUGGCGAACGGGUGAGUAACACGUGAGUAACCUGCCCUUGACUUUGGGAUAACUUCAGGAAACUGGGGCUAAUACCGGAUAGGAGCUCCUGCUGCAUGGUGGGGGUUGGAAAGUUUCGGCGGUUGGGGAUGGACUCGCGGCUUAUCAGCUUGUUGGUGGGGUAGUGGCUUACCAAGGCUUUGACGGGUAGCCGGCCUGAGAGGGUGACCGGCCACAUUGGGACUGAGAUACGGCCCAGACUCCUACGGGAGGAAGCAGGGGGGAAUAUUGCACAAUGGGCGGAAGCCUGAUGCAGCAACGCCGCGUGCGGGAUGACGGCCUUCGGGUUGUAAACCGCUUUCGCCUGUGACGAAGCGUGAGUGACGGUAAUGGGUAAAGAAGCACCGGCUAACUACGUG
rnacentral:rRNA from 1 species